rnacentral:lncRNA from 1 species
UUGCAAGGAGGAAGGGUCCACCGCCAAAGAAUGAGAGAAAUAAAGUUGAACGAAAGAAGAAGUAGAGUGUACUGUUGUAAUGAACUUUGGUUGUACUAAACAAUUUUUCAUGAAUACUGAACAAUUUUUCAUGAAGUGGAGAAUUAUGUCAGUUUGGUUGUACUAACAAUUUUUCAUGAAUACAUUAGACAUGAGUAUUCGAUCUAUCUAAUAGCAUAUUUGUCGUA